CAUAAGCGGAGGAAAAGAAACCAACAGGGAUUGCCCCAGUAGCGGCGAGUGAAGCGGCAAGAGCUCAGAUUUGAAAUCGUGUUUCGGCACGAGUUGUAGAGUGUAGGCGGGAGUCUCUGUGGAGCGCGGUGUCCAAGUCCCUUGGAACAGGGUGCCUGAGAGGGUGAGAGCCCCGUAGGGUGCUGCGCGAAGCUUUUGAGCCCCUGCUGACGAGUCGAGUUGUUUGGGAAUGCAGCUCCAAGCGGGUGGUAAAUUCCAUCUAAGGCUAAAUAUUGGCGAGAGACCGAUAGCGAACAAGUACUGUGAAGGAAAGAUGAAAAGCACUUUGAAAAGAGAGUGAAACAGCACGUGAANUUNUUGAAAGGGAAGGGUAUUGGGCUCGACAUGGGGGGUGCGCACCGCUGUCUCUUGUAGACGGCGCUUUGGGCGCCCUCUGGGCCAGCAUCGGUUCCUGCUGCGGGAGAAGGGGCUCCGGAAAGUGGCUCUUACGGAGUGUUAUAGCCGGGGCCAGAUGCCGCGUGUGGGGACCGAGGACUGCGGCUUCUGUGUCGGAUGCUGGCAUC
rnacentral:rRNA from 1 species